GAUGAACGCUGGCGGCGUGCCUAAUACAUGCAAGUCGAGCGAACGGACCAGAAGCUUGCUUCUCUGAUGUUAGCGGCGGACGGGUGAGUCACAUGUGGAUAACCUACCUAUAAGACUGGGAUAAUCUCGGGAAACCGGCGCUUAUACCGGAUAAUAUUUUGCACCGCAUGGUUCAAAAGUGAAAUUCGGUCUUUCUGUCACUUAUAGAUGCAUCCGCGCUGCAUUAGCUAGUUGGUAAGGUAACGGCUUACCAAGGCAACUAUGCAUAGCCGACCUGAGAGAGUGGUCGGCCACACUGGAAGUGAGACACGGUACAGACUCCUACGGGAGGCAGCAGUAGGGAAUCUUACGCAAUGGGGGAGAGGCUGACGGAGCAACGCCGCGUGAGUGAUGAAGGUGUUAGGAUCGGAAAACUCUGUUAUUAGGGAAGAACAUAUGUGUAAGUAACUGUGCACAUCUUGACGGUACCUAAUCAGAAAGCCACGGCUAACUACGUG
rnacentral:rRNA from 1 species